AAGGAUCAACGAAAUUCACUCUUUAUUAAUUUUAUCCCUAAAACCUGAACUUCAGGUGAAGAUGCCUGAAUUAACUUGAAAGACAAGAAGACCCUGUAGAGUUUUAAUGGGCCCCUGUUCAUUACUAAACCAUUUUGAUUGGGGCGAUCAAGGAUUUCCCCCCACAUCCUAAUACCUUUUAGAAAAAUCUUUCUAAUCUCGCAAUCCUAUCCCCUAGAACUUAAAAUAAACUACCUCAGGGAUAACAGGCUUAUCUUCCUAAAGAGUCCAAAUUAACAGGAAGGUUUGGCACCUCGAUGUUGGCUUAGAGUAACCCAAUAAAGUAAAAAUUAUUCUGGUUAGUUUGUUCAACUAUUAAAUCUCUACGUGAUC
rnacentral:rRNA from 1 species